UACGUAGGUGGCGAGCGUUGUCCGGAUUUACUGGGCGUAAAGGGAGCGUAGGCGGACUUUUAAGUGAGAUGUGAAAUACCCGGGCUCAACUUGGGUGCUGCAUUUCAAACUGGAAGUCUAGAGUGCAGGAGAGGAGAAUGGAAUUCCUAGUGUAGCGGUGAAAUGCGUAGAGAUUAGGAAGAACACCAGUGGCGAAGGCGAUUCUCUGGACUGUAACUGACGCUGAGGCUCGAAAGCGUGGGGAGCAAACAGGAUUAGAUACU
rnacentral:rRNA from 1 species